rnacentral:rRNA from 1 species
AUGACAUUGCCAAACACAUUCAUGUCAGCGGAUCAGAUAUUUGAGUUUGUUAGAGAUGCGGAUUGUUAUCUAAAUGUCUCAAUUGCUUAUCGUAUCCUUUUGACCAUACCUGUGAGUGUUGCAUCAGCUGAAAGGAGUUUCUCAAAAUUGAAACUAUUGAAAAAUUAUUUGAGGUCAACGAUGUCUCAAGAAAGAUUGAAUGGAUUGGCCAUGUGCUGCAUUGAGAAGAAUAUGCUGGAUAGUAUUGAUCUUGACACUCUCAUUGAUGAUUUUGCGUCAAAAAAUGCACGAAAGUCUCGUUUCACAUGA